UACGGGGGGGGUAAGCGUUGUUCGGAAUUACUGGGCGUAAAGGGCUCGUAGGCGGCCAACUAAGUCGGACGUGAAAUCCCUCAGCUUAACUGGGGAACUGCGUCCGAUACUGGAUGGCUUGGAUUUGGGAGAGGGAUGCGGAAUUCCAGGUGUAGCGGUGAAAUGCGUAGAUAUCUGGAGGAACACCGGUGGCGAAGGCGGCAUCCUGGACCAAUAUUGACGCUGAGGAGCGAAAGCCAGGGGAGCAAACGGGG
rnacentral:rRNA from 1 species